GAGUCCCUUCUCUCUAG
rnacentral:tRNA from 1 species